rnacentral:rRNA from 1 species
CAAUAGCGUAUACUAACGUUGUUGCAGUUAAAAGGCUCGUAGUCGAACUUGUGAUCUUGUUGAACCUGGUCCAAUCUCGAGUAGAUUGCGUACCGGUGUGCACGGAUCAUUCCAUCUGAAGAUUGUGUUGUCGGUUCUUGAUUGAGCUCGAUCUCAAGAUUCAGAUCCUUUACUGUGAGUAAAUCAGAGUGCUCAAAGCAGGCUUCAAUGCUUGUAUGGUUCAGCAUGGAAUAAUACUACAAGACUUUGGUUUUGUUUUGUUGGCUGUACGAACCAAAGUAAUGAUUGAAAGGGAUAGUUGGGGGUGCUAGUAUUCAAUGGUCAGCGGUGAAAUGCAAAGACCCAUUGAAGACUAACUUAUGCGAAAGCAUUCACCAAGGAUAUCUUCUUUGA